rnacentral:rRNA from 1 species
GCGUUAGGACUGCGGAGACAUUAGCGAAGCUCGGAAUGCCAGUCCGGUACUGCAGCUGCCCAGCGAUGGGAUGUGCUCGUCUGGGCUGGUGUCCCUUCUCUAUUCCACCCCACUGUGAACCAAGCGUGCGAGCAGAAGAGAGAUCGGAAGCUCGCAUGCUCACUUUAACAUACCCCCGAUUAAGUAUCUGAAUGUACCUUGCGUUAACUCGCACAAAUACAACUUUCAACAACGGAUCUCUUGGCUCUCGCAUCGAUGAAGAACGCAGCGAAAUGCGAUAAGUAAUGUGAAUUGCAGAAUUCAGUGAAUCAUCGAAUCUUUGAACGCACCUUGCGCCCCUUGGCAUUCCGAGGGGCACGCCUGUUCGAGUGUCGUGAACUCCUCCACCCCCUACCUUUUUCGAAAGGUAUUGGGCUGGGAUUUGGGAGCUUGCGGGUCCCUGGUCGAUCCGCUCUCCUUGAAUGCAUUAGCGAAGCCCUUGCGGCCUUGGUGUGAUAGUCAUCUACGCCUCGGCUUAGCGAAUCUAUGGGAGUCGCUUCCAACCGUCCCACUGGGACAAUCACUACCAACUUGACCUCGAAUCAGGCGGGACUACCCGCUGAACUUAAGCAUAUCAUAAGGCCGGAGAGAA